UAAUUGAAGAGUUUGAUCAUGGCUCAGAUUGAACGCUGGCGGCAGGCUUAACACAUGCAAGUCGAGCGGUAGCACAGGGGAGCUUGCUCCCCGGGUGACGAGCGGCGGACGGGUGAGUAAUGUCUGGGAAACUGCCUGAUGGAGGGGGAUAACUACUGGAAACGGUAGCUAAUACCGCAUAACGUCGCAAGACCAAAGAGGGG
rnacentral:rRNA from 1 species